rnacentral:misc_RNA from 1 species
AAAUAGCUCAGGUUCCGAAGAAAGCCAAAUUCGUGGGUCAGUGUUGAUACACUGGACUUGUAAGAGCUGGUCAAUCAGGGUAUCUCGAGAAUGGCAGAUCCAACACUUGACGCCCUGGUGAAUAGCGUGUCCACUCACCUUGAACCACGGGAGGUAAUGGAUUACUUAUAUCAGGAACAUGCACUCAGCGAGGAGGACAUGGAUUUGGUCAAUGUGAAGGUCACACGUAAAGAUAGAUGUCGUAAGCUGGUGGAGAGGCUGGUUAAUAGGGAUGACAAGGUCAAGGCCUUGGAAACAUUCGUAGACAGUUUGAAGUCGGAUUAUAGUUUCUUGGUGUCAUCGAUUGCUAUUUGCGUCAAAUCUGUUAUUACAUCAAUCCAAGAGAGUGUUGCCAUUCAAACACGUUCAGGGGAAUGCUUAGUGAGUGUACCCGUCCCAUAUACUUCCACCGAUUCGGACGCAGAAAACCGUUUAACCAAAAGACAACAAGCUAGAACAAAGGGAAUCAUUGCGCGUCCCUUGUCGCAAUCUGGAGUAACAUUGGAUAGGAGAGUUCAUCGAGUAUUCAACAUCCUGAGUAACCCCCUCAACAAGGGAGACUACUCGCAAUUUCGCGACAAUUCCCAAAAACUUAUGUCGUGUUGUCGAUGUCCUGCCGACGUGCGGUUCACGGUCUUUUACCUGCAGUGCUGUGAAGCCCUGUUUCAGAACGACCUCAGUCGAACUAAAGUGUUGUGCGAAGAAGCAUCGAAGCUGUUACAACACACCAGCAACCCGCUCGGAUUCUCUGUAGACAUUCUGUCUAAAAAGGCGUGGAGAUAUUUCAAACUUAAUAAACUGAGUAAGUUAGAGAGUUGUCUUCGAGACGCCAUGCAGCUGAUUCACCAGGACCCUCUAAGCUGCUCCGGAAAAGCGGCAGGGUGGAUAUAUGUGGAUCAUGCAAGACUGUUGACGUCUGUGCUCGCAGCUGCUAGUCCGCGUCGAAGUCACAAUCUUAGACAACAAGCGCUCCGCAGUUUGGAAGAAGCAAUAGAGCACUUCAAACGUGAAAACAGCAAUGAUGGACUCUUUGGGCAGUCUGUUGCCUUCGUUAAGUAUGCCUCGCUUCUCCUUCAAUGUGGUGAGAAUAUGCAGUUUUCUGGGAUGAACUUGACUCCGUCAAGUGUGGAUAAAGCCAAGGACGUUUUGCGGUUUGUUGAAGAAUCGGAACUUGGCGUCCCAGAGAUUCUUCGAGUGACAUACUAUACAGCAAUGUCGGACCUUCGUUACCGUCAACAGAACGUCCAGCGCGCUCUAGAGUACGCCACAGAUGCGUCGGAACUGUCGGGGAGGUUAGGCAUGAGCCAGGAGCAGAGACAUGCGGUCACAAGGGUGGACUUCUACCAAGCACAAAGAAGCAGAGGACAAGUAACCUUAGUUACUGCAGAUAUCGAGGCAAUGUGGGCAGAGAGUGCCAGAGAAACAGACACGGGCGGAACCUGUGUACGGGUCUUAGAAAAAGAUCAGAUCGGAUCAGGGAAGAGAAGUAAGGAAAGUAAGAAGAAUGCCAUUGUGUUGUGGUUGCGCUUCAUAGCACUACUUGUGUGCAUCAUAGUGGGGAUUGUGGCACCUAUGACGCUCACGUAAUGUACUGGAAUCCAUGACACCAGACUGACAUAUAUCAAGGGAGGUAACUCUGGGGGGCGCUUAGUUUACACAGGUGUAUCUUUGAAACUGUUCAGGGGUUUUACAUCUUACGCAAUAUUUCAGUAUUCAGUUUGUUGUUUUGCCGUGUAUAUCUAAUGGCACAUGGAUUGUUAGUUUAUAUAAUAUAAGUUUUGUUGUACCAUGUCAAUAUUGUUUUGAUGGUGUGUAUUGUUACAUGUCAACAUUUUCAGCUAAACGCUCUAUCUGCAUGUACAAUAUCAUUAAUGCUCUAAGGCCACAGUGUUAACACCGUCUGAUUUUUCAGUGGAUGGUGCAAUAUCGUUGUGUGCGCGUGUGUGUGUGUGUGUGUGUGUGUGUGUGUGAG